rnacentral:rRNA from 1 species
AGAGUUUGAUCCUGGCUCAGGAUGAACGCUGGCGGCGUGCUUAAUACAUGCAAGUCGAACGAAGCACUUUAUUUGAUUUCCUUCGGGACUGAUUAUUUUGUGACUGAGUGGCGGACGGGUGAGCAACGCGUGGGGGACCUGCCUUGGGCAGGGGGAGAACAUUUGGAAACGGCUGCUAAUACCGCAUAAACGCAAAGCAUCGGGAGAUGUCCUGUGAAAAACUCCUGUGGUAUAAGAUGGACUCGCGUUGGAUUAGCUAGUUGGUGAGGUAACGGCCCACCAAGGCAACGAUCCAUAGCCGACCUGAGAGGGUGACCGGCCACAUUGGGACUGAGACACGGCCCAAACUCCUACGGGAGGCAGCAGUGGGGAAUAUUGCACAAUGGGCGAAAGCCUGAUGCAGCGACGCCGCGUGAACGAAGAAGUUUUUCGGUAUGUAAAGUUCUAUCAGCAGGGAAGAUAAUGACGGUACUUGACUAAGAAGCACCGGCUAAAUACGUGCCAGCAGCCGCGGUAAUACGUAUGGUGCAAGCGUUAUCCGGAUUUACUGGGUGUAAAGGGAGCGCAGGCGGUACGGCAAGUCUGAUGUGAAAUCCCGGGGCUCAACCCCGGUACUGCAUUGGAAACUGUUGUUCUAGAGUGUCGGAGGGGUAAGCGGAAUUCCUAGUGUAGCGGUGAAAUGCGUAGAUAUUAGGAGGAACACCAGUGGCGAAGGCGGCUUACUGGACGACUAACUGACGCUGAGGCUCGAAAGCGUGGGGAGCAAACAGGAUUAGAUACCCUGGUAGUCCACGCCGUAAACGAU